UGUAAACAAACAGUAGGAUUUUCCACGGUGGAAGGGAGAAUAAUGAGACGAAGGAUGCAGAAGAGAGCGGGAGUAUUACAUCAUCAAUAAUACCUCCAGGCUGAAAAUUAAUGGGCCAUGUUUAAGUGCACUGUUAUUUGAGAGAAAGAGUCCUGUGCUCAUACUGAUGUCCAUUUAUGCUCAAGAUCAUAGAGCUGGAAAGCACCUAAGCCAGGAGGAUUUAGAUUCAGAUUCUUAAAUUGAUCAGCUCAUGAACAUAACAGAGUAGCUUAAGUUAAAAAUUCAUUUAAGAGCUUCCCUGAUGGCGCAGUGGUUAAGAAUCCGCCUGCCAAUGCAGGGGACAUGGGUUCGAGCCCUGGUCCAGGAAGAUCCCACAUGCCGUGGAGCAACUAAGCCCGUGAGCCACAACUACUGAGCCUGUGCUCUGGAGCCCGCAAGCCACAACUACUGAGCCCACGUGCCACAGCUACUGAAGCCCACGUGCCUAGAGCCCGUGCUCCACAACAAGAGAGGCCACUGCAACGAGAAGCCCGCACACGACAAUGAAGAGUAGCGCCCACUCGCCACAACUAGAGAAAGCCUGCGCGCAGCAAUGAAGACCCAACGCAGCCAAAAAUAAAUAAAAAUAAAUUUUAAAAAGUUCAUUUAAAAAGGAGAAAUAAUUAUAAAAAUGAUGAAUCAAAUUAUACUCCUUUGUACUCAAAAGCAUAAAAGUUAUGUUGAAAAGUAACACAGUAAACAAAGGGGUACA